rnacentral:rRNA from 1 species
UGAGGAAUAUUGGGCAAUGCCCGCAAGGGUGACCCAGCAACGCCGCGUGGAGGAUGAAUGUCGUAAGAUUGUAAACUCCUGUUAGAGGGGAAGAAUAGUACCGGUUGGACCGGUAUAUGACUGUACCCUCAGAGAAAGCCCCGGCUAACUACGUGCCAGCAGCCGCGGGAAUACGUAGGGGGCAAGCGUUGUCCGGAUUUACUGGGUGUAAAGGGCGCGCAGGCGGGAUAAAAAGUCAGUGGUGAAAUCCUACAGCUUAACUGUAUAACUGCCUUUGAUACUUUUAUUCUUGAGUUCGGGAGAGAGAGACGGAAUUCCAGGUGUAGUGGUGAAAUACGUAGAUAUCUGGAAGAACACCAGUUGCGAAGGCUGUCUCUUGGUCCGACACUGACGCUGAGGCGCGAAAGCGUG